AAAUGGAUGGAUGGAUGGCUGUCGGAGGAGAAAUACUGGUGAGAUUAAUCUUUUUGCUAGUAAGCUGUGUGGUCACAUGGAUGCUCGUUUUCCAAAUGAUGAAUUAAAGGAGUGUCAGCAUUUGACAUUGAAGCACUGAGCUCAGACAUCAGUUUUGACUAUGGAUCAGCAGACAUUUCUACACUGGACAAAGUGUACAACCAUUGGAGAAGUGAGAAAGACAGAUGUGAAAAAACUGUGUAAUUAAAUAUUUUACAGACAAGAAUUUAUACAGUAUCACAAGCUAGACACACAGUUCAUUGUGCAGAAUGUGAAUGUUUUAAUGUGAACAAAAAGUUAUGUCUGAAAGGUGUAAUGUCUCAUUUCUCACCAUGGCCAAAGCAGGACUCUUACAUAUAACAUACUACGCAUCUCAUGAACAGCAGUGUUUUUGUUUUUUCAUCUUAAGUGGGGCAAAUCACUUAUAUUAAAAGCAAACUAAUGGAAGUUGCUGCUGAAAAAUUAUACACA